AGCGAACGCUGGCGGCAGGCCUAACACAUGCAAGUCGAACGAACUCUUCGGAGUUAGUGGCGGACGGGUGAGUAACACGUGGGAACGUGCCUUUAGGUUCGGAAUAACUCAGGGAAACUUGUUCUAAUACCGAAUGUGCCCUUCGGGGGAAAGAUUUAUCGCCUUUAGAGCGGCCCGCGUCUGAUUAGCUAGUUGGUGAGGUAACGGCACACCAAGGCGACGAUCAGUAGCUGGUCUGAGAGGAUGACCAGCCACACUGGGACUGAGACACGGCCCAGACUCCUACGGGAGGCAGCAGUGGGGAAUCUUGCGCAAUGGGCGAAAGCCUGACGCAGCCAUGCCGCGUGAAUGAUGAAGGUCCUAGGAUUGUAAAAUUCUUUCACCGGGGACGAUAAUGACGGUACCCGGAGAAGAAGCCCCGGCUAACUUCGUGCCAGCAGCCGCCGCUGUAA
rnacentral:rRNA from 1 species